UUGAUAGACUGAGUUAAUAGGCACUGAUGAGACACACUUCCUUUGUCCUUUGGGAAUUGAAAACAUUUUUCUUUGGCUUCUAGCCAAUCGGCAGAUUGAAAUUCUGGAACUGGGAGACCUGGAAAAAGAGUGUUCCUUGGCCCGAAUCCGCCUCACUCUGGCUCAGCAUGACCCGUCAGCAGUUGCAGUUGCAGGAAGUUCAUCAGCAGAGGAGAUGGUCUCUCUCUUGGUUCAGGCUGGCCUUUUUGACACUGCCAUAUCCCUCUGUCAGACUUUUAAGCUUCCCUUGACGCCAGUCUUUGAGGGACUUGCUUUCAAAUGCAUCAAGUUGCAGUUAGGGGGCGAGGCAGCCCAAGCAGAAGCCUGGUCCUGGCUAGCAGCCAAUCAGCUCUCAUCAGUCAUCACCACUAAGGAGUCCAGGUACAGCUCUAGUGCUCCUCUGCCCCAAAGGGCUUACCUUCCAAACACUUCCCCUAGUGCCCAAUUCAUGUCUACCUGAAUGCACUUCAGUUUCUUUAGAAUCCUUCUCUAACCCUAACCCUCAGUAAAAUUCCCUUCCUUGAAUCACAUUUACAGUUUGUAUUACACAACUUUAGAAUUGGGGCAUUUAACGAUUUGGCAGUCCUCUGACAUUAGUUUUCAACCCCUAAAUUAGCAUACCAAUAUC